rnacentral:lncRNA from 1 species
GCUCAUAUUUUAUGUAUAUUUAACUGGUCUAAUAUAUUAUAAUAAGGGCUUACAUUGUUAUUUUUCGCGUUAAUUGCCCUGAAAUACAGUUAAUGGUAGGACUCCCUGAUGCUAAAAUUUGCUAUCAGUUCUUUUUUUAUUCUUUCCUAUUUCAAUAAUGUUCCUAAUCCUCGUAUUACGUUGAGUGCAUCACCCUGCAAUUUAUUGAUUACUCGUCGCUGAAAUGCGUAUUCUUUGAACGCGGUGUUCUUGAAGAGUCACAGGGAUAUUUCGACUUCUCGUAUGAAAGACAUAAGGUCCUUGUCGUCAUUGUCUCUGAGUUCUUUUAUCCUGUUGGCUUCCUUGACCUUAGUUGCUUCUGUCAUGAUUUCGUCGUUGCCGUUGCUUUCGUCACUCAAUUUUAGUUAAGAAUUCUGGAGUUACUUUAACUUAAAAAAACUCUUUUUUUUUAUGACAAUUAGCUUUGUUUAGGAUCGCUCAGUUUAAGGCAUUUUUACUUCAAAAUUACAUUUUGAAGUCCCUUAGUCUUUGCCAGUUAUCACAGUCACUUCCCCCAUAUAUGUUAGCUGUGGAGUUGACGCAACAUCGUAUGUCGCGCGAAACAGUCGGGCUCGAAGUCGUGCCCAGUUAACGUAACCCCGACCGCCAGGCCAGGUAGCGAAAAGGCAGCACCUUCGACCACCCAGGCACAAACCGCAAAGCGGAAGAGCGGGCAAAUCACGCCGCAGGAGCCCCCUAGUUCUACAAGGCUGAAUGGCAACAGCACGAAGGCAGCCGGAGCCAACCCUCCGCACCAAAUCCCCCUGCGUGUAGGAGAGACGGCGCAUGGAAGAGGUAUUCAGAGACCGUGAAUAAGCAGCGUCCUUUCAUGGGGUCGACUUUAAAAGCGGAACGAGAGGUCCGCUGUCUGGGUACGGAAGAUUGCUCCCAAGUUGGAAGGCCUGGAGGGCCCCAUCUUCUGCGCAAAAAGAGGGGAAAACAUACCUAUCAUGCACAUCAUGACGAUGUAUCUCCACAAGUGCGCAGGAAAACCGUACGAGUUUGUUAUUGGUCUGACCAAAAAUCAGAACUUGGGCCUCAGCAGGGGUAAUAAACAGCAGGGUCGAGAAAAACGGAUGGAGACUGAAUCUUUCUAUCGACGACGAGUCGUACAAAUACGUCCGUGGACCAAGCGUCCACCUGAAUUAUAGGUACAACUCGGUGGUAUUGAGGCCUUAUAAACCUACAACGGCCACCGGGAGCAGAGAAGAUGCUUGUGGAUGAGAUUUCCACUCAACCUAGCGUUUGCACGGCGGAACAGGCUACGACUGUUGCGGCGUCGGAAUUCCCUGACAAGAGGAGUUGCGUUCAAGGAGGGAAGCUACCCUCCAAGCAGGAACGCAUCAAGGGGCUAGGGAACCCAAUUGAUGGCAGCGCGGAUGACAGCGGGGUGGGCAGCGGCUCCUUAUUAAACCGAUCCUGUAGUGGCCGUCAACGUGAAAAUUGCCCAAGUAAUCCUCCUGAUCCAAGAGGUUAGAGGCCUCAAGAGUUCCCGAAACAGGAUCUAACAUCAACCCAUUUUCCGGUAUAGGCAUCCACAGCACCUCCAGAGGCUGUGGAUAGGUUAGUGAGUUACUGAAUGCGACACAAGUUGCCCCUAAUUCUAAGAUGUGUUACGAACGUCAAUGCGUUGCGGACUGCAACACACGAGCGACUUAUUCGGCCGGUAUCUUGUCAGCAGUUGAGCUACUUUUUUUUUGGCACCUCGGAAGACAGCCCACCACUCUAUUAUUUCUCAACAUUAUCUUAGAAUAUAGCUGAAAAUAUACCUUAUUAUAUUCAAAGAAGUUCGAAAUAUUUAAUCAGAUGAAUCGUUGAACAAAGCAUUGGAAUCUUAAAAAAACGGUGGAGAAUUUUAGGAUAUAGCAAGGGAGGAAGGUAUCACUCCACAAAAGUGGAAGAUUUAUAAAUGUUUGUGAGGCAGAUGUUAUGCAUAAAAUAUACAAUAAGUUACGACCCUUAAAAAAGCGAUUCUUAACACACACAAAAAAUGGACAUGUGUAGCGCAUCGCCUCACCGCAAUCGACCAACCGAUAAGAAACCAUAUAAUGAAUUCUUUAAUAAAUUUAAUUCAAAAAUGUAUACGUCCUUAACUUUGUAAAUAAUUUUAUUUUUAA